rnacentral:rRNA from 1 species
CCUACGGGUGGCAGCAGUGGGGAAUAUUGCACAAUGGGGGAAACCCUGAUGCAGCGACGCCGCGUGAGGGAAGAAGUAUUUCGGUAUGUAAACUUCUAUCAGCAGGGAAGAAACUGACGGUACCUGACUAAGAAGCCCCGGCUAACUACGUGCCAGCAGCCGCGGUAAUACGUAGGGGGCAAGCGUUAUCCGGAUUUACUGGGUGUAAAGGGAGCGUAGGCGGUGUAGCAAGUCUGAAGUGAAAGCCCGGGGCUCAACCCCGGGACUGCUUUGGAAACUGUUUAACUAGAGUGCAGGAGAGGUAAGUGGAAUUCCUAGUGUAGCGGUGAAAUGCGUAGAUAUUAGGAGGAACACCAGUGGCGAAGGCGGCUUACUGGACUGUAAAUGACGUUGAGGCUCGAAAGCGUGGGGAGCAAACAGGAUUAGAUACCCGGGUAGUC